rnacentral:RNase_P_RNA from 1 species
GGAACCGGCCGGACGGUCGCCGUAUCGUCACGCGGUAUGGAGGAAAGUCCGGGCUCCACAGGACAGGGCGCCAGGUAACGCCUGGGCGGCGCAAGCCGACGGAAAGUGCCACAGAAAACAUNNNNNNNNNNCCCACGUUCGCGAGAACCGGCAAGGGUGAAAAGGUGCGGUAAGAGCGCACCGCGCGGCUGGUAACAGGCGCGGCACGGUAAACCCCGCCCGGAGCAAGACCAAAUAGAGGAGCAUUGACGUGUGGUCCGCACGGCUCCUGGGUAGGUCGCUACAGGCGCUUGGUGACAGGCGUCGCAGAGGAAUGACCGUCCUUGACAGAACCCGGCUUACAGGCCGGUUCCCUCC